UCCCCCGCAACAGCGAAGUUUUUCCUCCCCAUCCCGCUGGCGGCGCACUUCUCAGAGCCGACGGUCACUCUCACCACCGGCGACGCUAACGUGCGCACCUCACUCUCUUCUUCUUCCUCUCACCAAUUCUCGAAUGCUUCCAUAGACGAGCUUUAAGGCUCUAUUUGGAUUAGCGUCUUAUUUUGUGGAGUUCGGCGGUGAAUGGUUGUGGAGUUAUUCCCCAUACGGGUUCUUUGAAUUUUUGGUUUUUGAUGAGAGAGAGGUGGGAAUUGAUGGGAUGUGUUUCGGAUUAUUGCUUGAUUGCAUGUUUUCUCAAGCUGGGUUAGCGUUGCACCAUCAAGAUUUGCUGGUAAUUUAUUGAAUGUGGGAUUGAGAAGAUGGAGGGAGACAAUAAGAAGUCUGGUUUUAGGAAAAGAACGAAGCCCAUGGAGGGUGGGUUUGACUCAGAUGAUGACGAGCCUAUUGGAUCUCUGCUGAAGUUGAAGAGAUCACGAAACUCCAUGAAGAAUAAGGUAGGUGUAGAUUUUGGCGGUGAAAGAGACAAGAUGGUUGACAAGAAAGUAGCGAAGUUGCCAGUUCAAGAGGAGGACUUUGGGGGGAUGGAUGAUACUUUAGCAAGUUUCAGAAAGAAGUUGAGGCGUCCUAAGAAGGUUAGCGGGUUCGGAACAUCUAAGGAACAGAGUUCUGGUUUUAGUCGGGCAGAAUCAUCAGAUCCGAUAUCGAACGCAUGCAGAGGACGAGGGGAUUUAGACUUGAGUUUUAGACCAGAAAAUAGUGAAUCAAUGGGCCGUGAAGGGUCUGAUCUAUCUUCAAAGAUUGAUGCAGAAACGGUGUGUGAAACACCUGAUUUUGAAUUAAAACACAUGGAGACAGGUAUCUCUAGGAGGAGAAGUUCUAAUUGCUCUUUUGACGAACAGUUGGAUGAUUCAUUGUCAGCAUUUGCCCAAAAGAUUCAAUCUGGUUCAACUAGGAAAUCAUUGGUAUCGACAACAUGUAAACCGGAUUGCAAGGCUGAGACUUCAGAAGAUAAAUUGAGUAACUUUUCUAGAGUUGUAUCUGGGGAUCAAGAAACCUACCCUGUAGUGAGUUCUAGUUCUUCUGCUAAGCUGGCAGAGGUGGCCAAAAAAUCAGAUUCUGAACUUACUAGGCCAUAUUUAAUAUCCUGUUCCUGUUACAGUAGAGAAAAUCGUAAUCCUGGUCUAGGACAAUGCCAAGGGGUUGAUGGAGACCGAGAAGAAAUUCAAUGCGGUGUAAAUAAUUAUGAUAAUGCUGACAUCAAACCAUGCAUACCAAACGUAGUUGCUGAUGAAGAUGGCAAAAACUUUAGUCAUAUUCAAUUUGGGGACAAUUUCCAGUCGCUGGAAAGGAAGGUCUCCUGUGAAACGAAGAAUCAACUAAAACAUUGCUCAUGUGGCGAUACGAUGGGGCUAGGUAAAAGUCAUCUUAAUGAAAAUAUGCACAAUUCUUGUCAUGCCCUAGAACAGGCAAAUGAAAACAAUGGCCUUUGUGGGGGUGUUUCCAAUGGAGAUUUUUGUGACGUGGUGGCCCAUGAGUCCACAGUCGCUUUGUCUAAAACAACUUCAGGUGUAGAUUGCGAAGGAAAAGACAGAUCACUGGCUAUACAUUAUGAUGAAUUGCCUAACUCCGCCAAUGUUUGUGAAAGUUAUUCCAAAGGUUUCUGUAAAUCUACUAAAAAAUUAAAGAUUUCUAAUCCUUCUUCCGAAGGAACUACACUCUCCAAUCUUGAAUUGUUGGCAGCCUUCGAGUCGAUGAAAGCGGAUAAAACUUGCUGUGACUCUGGUAAUUUAGAUACUGGUACUGACGAGCCAAAGACUAAAGUUGGUUCUGUGCAGAAUGAAAAUGCUCUGAUCUCUCAUAGGAUUUCAGAUUCAACUGCUGUCUGCCCAGUUGGGAAUUGCAGUAUGAUAUCAGAUAGUCAACCAGCCAAGGCUUCUGUAGAGGUAGAUGGUCCAAAUAAUAAUAUACCUGCUGAUAAAGAGGUCAAGGUAUCUUCUCCUGGGUCUCUGACUCCAGAUGAUAAUGACAUUGAGGAUGUAAUAUCUGCUCCUGGAAGUGAAAAAGAUUUAAAGCUUUCAGCUUUGCAACGUGUUGUGCGCAAGACAAAGAAGCCUAGACGUGAUGACAUGGCUUAUGAAGGAGAUAUUGAUUGGGAGGUUUUGCUUAAUGAGCGUGCAGUUGAUAGUGACUAUUCUUUUAGAUCAAGAAGGGAUUCUACUUCAACAACUUUUACGGAGGCGGAAACUGGGGGUAGAGCUGCUGUGUCUGCAGGGCUUAAGGCUCAUGCAGUUAGCCUACUUGAGAAGAUUAAAUUUAAGGAAGUGCUUAAGAGAAAAGGUGGGCUUCAAGAGUACUUAGCGUGCAGGAAUCAGAUCCUGGGCCUUUGGUGUAAAGAUGUUACUCGCAUUUUACAUCUCGUUGACUGUGGGAUCACUGAAACUCCCUCUAUGGAUGAACCAACGCAUUUUUCCCUUAUUAGGGAGAUCUAUGCGUUUCUUAAUCUUCGUGGUUAUAUAAAUGCGGGAAUUGCUUCUGAAAAAGCCAAAUCAGAAUCUGGCUUCAAGCAUGACUGUGAACGGGGAGAAAAGAAAGUUGGAGACAUUAGUGUUGCUUCAGCUGCUGAUUCUGAGGAAGGCAUUUCUGCCAUGGUUAAAAAUUCUGAUGCUUCUAAUGCCAAGAACAGUGUUUCAGCUGGCUGUGAACUACCAGAAGAUACUGAAGGAAGAGACCUUGUGACUGCAAAUAAUCUGGAGUUGCAAAAAUUUGCAGAACACGAACAAGAAUUGGUACAUGACUUGGAGUAUGGUACUCAUGAUCCUUCACCGGGAAAAUUGGUAGGUAUUGAUGUUCCAGGUGAAGCUGUCGCCCAUUUAGCUCAUCAUUCAAGUAAUGGUUGGCACCCAAUUGGCUCCUCUAAUGAGUGUGUAGGGGGUGAUGAACAACAGCAGAGUAAUUCAGAAGUCAGAAAAAAGGUAAUUGUUAUUGGAGCUGGCCCUGCUGGCUUGACUGCUGCCAAGCACUUGCAUCGUCAGGGCUUUACUGUCAACGUACUUGAAGCCAGGAAUAGAUUAGGAGGUCGUGUUUAUACAGAUCGCUCCUCUCUUUCGGUUCCUGUAGAUCUUGGUGCAAGUAUUAUUACAGGAGUAGAGGCUGAUGUUGCAACUGAAAGAAGACCUGAUCCUUCUUCAUUGAUUUGCACUCAAUUGGGCCUUGAGUUGACUGUGUUAAAUAGUGACUGUCCUCUCUAUGAUAUCGUUACAUGCAAAAAAGUUCCGGUAGACAUUGAUGAAGCUUUGGAAGCAGAAUAUAAUAGUCUUCUUGAUGACAUGGUGUUGCUUGUUGCACAAAGAGGGGAGCAUGCAAUGACCAUGUCUCUUGAGGAGGGUCUAGAAUAUGCCCUUAAGCGACGACGCAUGGCUCGAUUGGGAAUGGAUGUUCGUUCCGAGGAAGAAGUUUUGAGUCCCUUUGAGAGGCGAGUUAUGAACUGGCAUUUGGCUAACUUGGAGUAUGGUUGUGCUGCUAUGCUGAAGAAAGUAUCGCUUCCUCAUUGGAACCAGGAUGAUCUUUAUGGAGGUUUUGGAGGAGCUCAUUGUAUGAUCAAAGGGGGUUAUAGCACUGUUGUUGAAUCUCUUGGUGGAGGACUCAAUAUUCACCUAAACCAUGUUGUGGCUGAUAUUUCUUACAGCACCGCUGAUAUUGGGUCGAAUGUAAAUCAAUGUGCGAAGGUAAAAGUUUCCACAACCAAUGGAUGUGAGUUUCUAGGAGAUGCUGUCCUUAUUACUGUGCCUCUUGGGUGUUUGAAAGCAGAAUCUAUUAAGUUUUCCCCACCAUUGCCUGAAUGGAAGCGUCUGUCCAUCCAGCGCCUUGGUUUUGGAGUUCUUAACAAAAUUGUUCUUGAAUUUCCAGAAGUUUUCUGGGAUGACUCUGUGGAUUAUUUUGGGGCAACUGCAGAGGAAACAAAGUGGAGGGGGCAGUGUUUCAUGUUUUGGAAUGUAAGAAAAACAGUUGGUGCUCCCGUUCUCAUUGCGCUAGUGGUUGGUCAGGCGGCUGUGGAGAGGCAAUACAUGAGCUCUUCCGAUAACAUAAGCCAUGCAUUAAUGGUUCUUCGCAAACUUUUUGGAGAAGCUGUGGUGCCUGACCCAGUUGCAUCUGUGGUAACGGAUUGGGGAAGAGAUCCGUUUAGUUAUGGUGCUUACUCCUAUGUUGCUGUUGGAGCGUCUGGAGAGGACUAUGACAUUUUAGCCAGGCCUGUUGAAAACUGUUUGUUUUUUGCUGGUGAAGCUACAUGCAAGGAGCAUCCUGACACUGUUGGGGGUGCAAUGAUGAGUGGUCUAAGAGAGGCUGUACGCAUGAUUGAUGUAUUGAGCACUGGUUAUGAUUAUACAGCAGAAGUAGAGGCAAUGGAAGCUGCUCAGAGGCAGUCUGAGUGUGAGAAUGAUGAAGUUGGGGACGUAAUUACACGACUCGAUGAUGUUAAGAUUUCGGAUGCUCUCUACAAAAAUUCUAUGGAUUGUGCCAAAGAAGCCUUACUUCAAGACUUGUUUUCUAGUGCGAAAACGACUGCAGGGAGACUGCAUGUCGCAAAAGAGUUGUUGAAACUCCCUGUUGAGACAUUGAAGUCCUUCGCAGGUACCAAAGAAGGUCUUACAGUUCUCAACUCAUGGAUUAUGGACUCAAUGGGGAAGGAUGGGACUCAACUUCUUCGGCAGUGUGUUCGUAUUCUUGUUCUAGUUUCAACUGAUCUACUUGCAGUUCGCUUAUCAGGCAUAGGUAAAACUGUCAAAGAAAAGGUAUGUGUGCAUACAAGCCGUGACAUUCGCGCCAUUGCGAGUCAGUUGGUUAGCAUUUGGCUUGAAGUUUUCCGUAAAGAAAAAGCUGCUCAUGGGGGGUUAAAACUCUCAAAGUCGGUUUCUACUGUAGAAUCAUUGAAGAGGAAAUCUAAUAAAGAUUCUUCUGGGAGACCUCCUUUGCAUGCAAACAACAGCACACUGGAUAGUAGAGGCAAUUUGCAGACUUCUACAAUUCACUUGCCUUCUGAUGUCAAUACGAAAAAUGAUAAUAGCAAACAAUUGAAAUUAGAAAUGGAAAAUUCAUCAAAAUCAGAUAUCAGUUCAUCAAGGUCAAGGGGUUCAUUAGGAAAGCAGGAUGCAGAAAUGGAAGACAACAACAUUGCAAUGACAGAAGAAGAGGAGGCUGCCUUUGCUGUUGCUGAGGCAGCACGUGCAGCAGCACUUGCAGCUGCGAAGGCGUAUGCAUCUUCUGAAGCUAAGUGUGCAUUGCAGCUCCCUAAAAUCCCUUCCUUUCACAAAUUUGCUCGAAAGGAGCAUUGCGCACAAAUGGAUGAGUGUGAGUCUAAAAGGAAGUUGUCUGGCAGUGUGCUAGGAAGACAGGAUUGUAUAUCAGAAAUAGAUUCAAGGAAUUGCAGGGUCAGGAACUGGUCUGUGGAAUUUUCUGCUGCUUGUGUUAAUCUCGAAAGUUCACGAAUGUCUGCAGAUAACCUUUCGCAAAGGAGCCAUUCAAAUGAGAUUGUUAGCCAAUUAAACUUCAGGGAGCACUCCGGUGAAAGUGCCCCUGUGGAUAGCAGUAUAUACACGAAAGCAUGGGUUGAUACAGCUGGCAGUGUUGGAAUGAAAGAUUAUCAUGCAAUUGAGAGAUGGCGGUCUCAAGCAGCUGCAGCUCAUGUAAACGACGAGGAGGAUUCAAACACUGCUGGGAAUAAACCCACUUGGAAUAGUGAUCAAUUAGCGAAUGAAAGCUCGAUAUCACAAGUGACGAUCAACAAGGAGCCUUUAAGAAACCAUCAUCGUGGGGCUGACAGAAUUAAGCAGGCCGUAGUUGAUUAUGUUGCAUCACUCUUGAUGCCCCUUUACAAAGCAAGGAAAAUUGACAAGGAUGGAUACAAGACAAUUAUGAAGAAAAGUGCAACCAAGGUCAUGGAACAGGCUACUGAUGCAGAGAAAGGCAUGACUGUUUCUGAGUUUCUUGAUUUCAAACGUAGGAACAAGAUUCGUGCCUUUGUUGAUAAAUUAAUAGAGAGGCAUAUGGCUACGAAGCCAGUAAUGGACUCAUGACAGUCCCGAGGAUUUGUCGUUAUUUUCUUGGUCAAUAACAAAGGCGUGAUAGUCCCAACGAUCAACUGGCUUUCUUGACGAGCUUCUCAAGAGGACACGCUUACGAGUUAUUCAUUUUAUUCUGGGAAGACUCCAAGUGCUUCUGUUGUUCCGGAUGAGAUCUAUCUGCUUAUGCGACUUGGAGAAAAAACAAAUGCAAUGUUCGGACCGACACGACUAUUGUAGGUUGCUUCUCUCAUCCCCAUAAAUAGGUAUCUUUCUUUUAGCCUAAUGAUAGAUCCUCAACUUAUUGUAGCUGUUGCAUAUAUGUAUAUAGAUUUUGUAAUGUCAUGGAUAGAAGUAUGAUCUAAAGUAAGCAUGUGACCUCGGUAUGUGAUUCGUGAUCGAGGCCAAUAUCCAUUAUGAAAUCAUGCAUUUAGGAUCGUGGGCAUGUUCCAAUCGUGUUAUUCCAAUAAAUUGAAGGUUUGAAGUCCCGUCCUAGUCUUUUAUAACGUGUCACAACUCGAAAGAAGAAAACGACAAGAAAGAAACACGUGCUUUUGUAUUUCUUACUCUUCUUCAGAUUCAGUGUUUAUGCAACUGAUCCAUCAAUUUGCAGUUCUUUAGUUCUUAUUCUCAGUGCAACAAUCCUUCUGGUGUUUGGUGAGUAGCAGGAAAGUUGAAUUUAAUACCCAUCUGAUGGUCUGUUUUUAUGAUGCUUCAUUCUUUGUGAAUCUUUUGUUAGCAGAAGAACAUAACUUCGAUCUCGUCACUUGUGAAUGGUAGCUCGAUGCGAUCGAAUUGACCGACUCGGUGACUGGUUCUUCCUAGUUUUUGCUUCACUUUAUUGCCUGUCGUGCUAGUAUCCUUUUAAAAAUGAUGCGGUCUUUUCCGGUAUUCAAUUAUUUAUAAAGGCUAAAUUAUUAUAGGAACGAAGCGAAUGGUGCUCGGAUGCUCAAAUAGUACUAGAAAUUCUCCGUAGCUCGAAACUUAAUUGCUCAGAUAGUAUUAGAAAUUCUUCGUAGCUCUAAACUUAGUAUAAGGUCGGGACGUUUAAAGGAAUCCCAUGGUCGUAUAAAGUUCAAUAGCUUCUAUUAUUUGUAACUUUUUGAAAACAUUUGAACAUAUUGUAAAAGUUCUGUUUAUAAAGUUUGAAUGAUUAUUUUGAAAAUAAUAUUAAAUGACGAUAUGAUUGAGUUGCAUUACGUUCAGGCACGCUGGCAAGAUUGGGCCUAUUGUUGGCCCAUUAUUUACAUCUUAUUCUGCUCGCGGCCCAAUUAUGUUCCUUGAUUGGGCCUUCAUAUGGCCCAGUGGGAAGCCCAGCUGUAGGACCCGAUUGUGUUAUUCGUAGGCAUAUAAUAAUAGUAGUAAUAAAUAAUAAUGUAAAUUCGUGAUAGCGUGAGUAUUUCAGAGGGCUGGGGAGAGAGAGAUCUGAUCCAGUCGGAGAACUUCUUCAUCUUCACCGU